rnacentral:rRNA from 1 species
AUGCCCUACGGGAGGCAGCAGUGAGGAAUAUUGGUCAAUGGCCGGAAGGCUGAACCAGCCAAGUCGCGUGAGGGAAUAAGGCCCUAUGGGUCGUAAACCUCUUUUGUCAGGGAGCAAAGGCGUCCACGAGUGGACGAAAGGAGAGUACCUGAAGAAAAAGCAUCGGCUAACUCCGUGCCAGCAGCCGCGGUAAUACGGAGGAUGCGAGCGUUAUCCGGCUUUAUUGGGUUUAAUGGGUGCUUAGGCGGCGUGUCAAGUCAGCGGUAAAAUUUCGGGGCUCAACCCCGUCGUUCCGUUGAUACUCC